CACGGAGUUAGCCGAUCCUUAUUCUUCCAGUACAUUCAGCUAGAUACACGUAUCUAGGUUUAUUCCUGGACAAAAGCAGUUUACAACCCAUAGGGCAGUCAUCCUGCACGCGGCAUGGCUGGUUCAGGCUUCUGCCCAUUGACCAAUAUUCCUUACUGCUGCCUCCCGUAGGAGUCUGGUCCGUGUCUCAGUACCAGUGUGGGGGAUUCUCCUCUCAGAGCCCCUAGACAUCGUCGCCUUGGUAAGCCGUUACCCUACCAACUAGCUAAUGUCACGCGAGCCCAUCUCUAUCCUAUAAAUAUUUAAUAAUUCCUCGAUGCCGGGAAAUUAUAUUAUGCGGUGUUAAUCUCUCUUUCGAGAGGCUAUCCCCCUGAUAGAGGUAGGUUGCUCACGCGUUACGCACCCGUGCGCCACUCUCACCAUCUUCGAGCAAGCUCUCCGAUGGAUCCCGUCCGACUUGCAUGUAUUAGGCCUGCCGCUAGCGU
rnacentral:rRNA from 1 species